AUACAGAGGGUGCGAGCGUUAAUCGGAAUUACUGGGCGUAAAGAGUGCGUAGGUGGAUAGGAUAGUCGGAUGUGAAAGCCCAAGGCUCAACCUUGGAACUGCAUUCGAAACUUCCAGUCUAGAGUACAGUAGAGGGUAGUGGAAUUUCCGGUGUAGCGGUGAAAUGCGUAGAGAUCGGAAGGAACAUCAGUGGCGAAGGCGACUACCUGGACUGAUACUGACACUGAGGCACGAAAGCGUGGGGAGCAAACGGGAUUAGAAACCCCAGUAGUCC
rnacentral:rRNA from 1 species